rnacentral:lncRNA from 1 species
UUGGAGCCGCCGGAGGGCCGGCUAAUUUUUGUGUUUUUAGUAGAGAUGGAGUUUCACCAUGUUGGUCAGACUGGUCUCGAACUCCUCACCUCAAGCGAUCCACCCGCCUCGGCCUCCCAAAGCGCUGGGAUUCCAGGCGUGAGCCACCGCGCCCGGCGUAAUUCGUUCCCUUAACCGUAAACGUCUCCAGGCGAGGAAUGCUGAACUUUCUGAGAAGGCAGCCAGCAAGUUCCAGCCUCAUUUUCCAGCCGUCAGUCAAGAUGGAGUCACCGUGUUUCAUUCGCCUCUGACAACGGGUCCUCCCGGACGCCACGUGGCUUGUUCUGAAGCCGGGCCGGAGACACCGUCUGGACCCCACAGUGCUCCCCAGGGCCGCCUCCAAAAGGAUCCCACCCCAGGGAGCCGUGCAAACACCAUAAAUCCUGCUAAUUGCCACGUUCCCGGCAGCCAGAAUCCGUGGUCUCUCUAUAGUGGGCUCACGGUCUCCAGCCAAGAGCUCAAUCUUGCUUCUGGACAAAUAUUACCGAGAAAUGUCUGCAAACCCCGGCUGCCCGGCUCCCACAUCACAGGGGCUGCGUCUCAGAAAACAACUUGCUUCUGCCGAUCCACCCCCCACCACUGCCUCCCCGGGCACCUCGCCACACAGGACGCUCUGGCUUCCCGUAAGAACACCCGUGUCUGUGACCUGCGGGUGGGGUCACCUCCCCGGCCUACAUGCAAGCCCAGCACACAGGCCAGGACGUCAGGGUGUCGUGAGGGGCCGUCGGAGAACAUCUAAGGGACGUCCCUGCAUUCCUGGCUGGAGGUCCUGCACCAGCAGCCUCCGUGUGAGAAAACUUUCACUCUGCAAACUCUCAGAGCCCCCACCUGCUCCCGCCUCCCGUCUGUCCUGGUUCUUGGGACCCCGGAGCCUUCUCUGUCCAGACCUCCCAGGUCCUGACGGGAAUCCGGAUAAACUCGUUGGGGCGAAGGUGUUAACGGCAGGCCCCUGUCUAAUGUAUUUCGCCACCCAGAUAAAAUGAGUGUUUUCACAGCUGCCGUUAAUUUCUUACCCUGAGGAAGAAAGGAAGGACUUUGAGGCACCUGCGGCCGGGUUGGGGUGCGGCAGGGGGAUUUCUGGACGCGGACGGUGUGUGGGGAGUUCCUGGGGUCCCUAGAGCCACACCACGUAGGUGGCAGCCGGCUCCGUCCUGCAAAGCCCCGGCUUCGGUGAAAGAUUUAUCACCUGCUCAGCCUCGGAGACGGGGAAGAAAAACAGCCUGGAAGUGGUCCUGGCUGAUGGACGGGCCCCUGGGGAGCUGUC